rnacentral:rRNA from 1 species
CCGGCACGGGUGAGUAACACGUAUCCAACCUGCCGUCUACUCUUGGACAGCCUUCUGAAGGAAGAUUAAUACAAGAUGGCAUCAUGAGUUCACAUGUUCACAUGAUUAAAGGUAUUCCGGUAGACGAUGGGGAUGCGUUCCAUUAGAUAGUAGGCGGGGUAACGGCCCACCUAGUCUUCGAUGGAUAGGGGUUCUGAGAGGAAGGUCCCCACAUUGGAACUGAGACACGGUCCAA